rnacentral:lncRNA from 1 species
AAAUGCAACCGUGCAUGUGCGGGGUUAGUGUGCACUUGCUGGUGAUGACAGUGGUGAGGGAGAUGGAUGGUGAUACUGUCCGGCUAUGUGCACGAUGUGGUGGGAUACACAUGAGCUGGGUGAGAUGGGAUGUUCGGCUAUGUGCACGAUGUGGUGGGAUGCACAUGAGUUGGGUGAGAUGCACAUGAUGAAUCUUGAAAAUUUGUCGUUAUUUGCAAAUUGAUUUUAUUGUAACGAGAAACAUUCUGUGUAUACUGCCUUACUUAGAUAACUGUUGGAAAUUUCCUUUCUUUCUAAUUUCAUGCUGAAUACGGUUCCUUCAUUAUUAAAUGAUUUUACAACCAAGGGUUUAAUGGAGGGAUUUUAAUAAGAACUUGAACUAAAUGUUAUUGAUUUUAAAUAUGUGCAUCAUGUUUUUUAAACCAUUCCUUGUCGUUGCUUGUUCCCUUCCUAUGUUCACUCACUGAGUUUGUACUCACGUUUUUAAAAUUCAUGUUUUAAGUUUCUUGAGUUAAAGGUGAUUGGAUCUUAGGACAAGGUGCUCCUCCCUAUCCAUUGCUCGGUAGGUUUACCAUGACAUUAAAUGUUAGCAACCGUGACCAAAGUCACUCCGCUGACGAUCAAGGCCUAAUUUUGUGUAUAUGAAUACUUUAGGUGAAAUAUUAAGAUUCACUUGUCAAGCUAUAUAUGUAUAUUAUGGUAGAUGAUGCCAUUAUGAAUGCAUAAUUGGGUUUUAUGAAUUGUUUUCAAAGAGACUAUAUUUGAACAUUAUGAAUCUUGGGUUUUAAAGGAAUAUGAAUUACUAUAUAAGAUUAUACAAAGAAGCUUGCUUUGGCUUAGUGGG